rnacentral:sRNA from 1 species
AUGCCAUCAAGUCAUAUUUGACUCCAAAACACUAACCAAGCUUCUUCUUGCUUCUCAAAGCUUUGAUGGUCUAGCCGUAGUCCGUUGAGUGUUU